rnacentral:snoRNA from 1 species
GAUCGCAGUGACGACUCAUUAAAAUUCAAGCUCAACAGACCGGAUUGCAGGCUUCUCUCUUUUGAGAAUUUUGCUUGCGUGUCGAUCACCCCGCUGAACUGAGCGAUC